GGGAAUCUUCCGCAAUGGGCGAAAGCCUGAUGGAGCAACGCCGCGUGAGUGAUGAAGGNUUUCGGGUCGUAAAACUCUGUUAUUAGGGAAGAACAAACGUGUAAGUAACUGUGCACGUCUUGACGGUACCUAAUCAGAAAGCCCCGGCUAACUACGUGCCAGCAGCCGCGGUAAUACGUAGGUNGCAAGCGUUAUCCGGAAUUAUUGGGCGUAAAGCGCGCGUAGGCGGUUUUUUAAGUCUGAUGUGAAAGCCCACGGCUCAACCGUGGAGGGUCAUUGGAAACUGGGAAACUUGAGUGCAGAAGAGGAAAGUGGAAUUCCCAUGUGUAGCGGUGAAAUGCGCAGAUAUUAUGGAGGAACACCAGUGGCGAAGGCGACUUUCUGGUCUGUAACUGACGCU
rnacentral:rRNA from 1 species